rnacentral:rRNA from 1 species
GACGAACGCUGGCGGCGUGCCUAAUACAUGCAAGUCGAACGCAGUGGGGACGGGUGAGUAACAAGUGGGUAACCUCCCCUCAGAGGGGAUAACACUUGGAAAAAGGUGCUAAACCGAUACGGAGGGAUGGACCCGCGGUGCAUUAGCUAGUUGGUGGGGUAACGGCUCACCACGGCCCCGAGGCAUAGCCGACCUGAUCGGGUGAUCCGCCACACGUGGACUGAGACACGGCCCAGACUCCUACGGUAGGCAGCAGUAGGGAAUCUUCGGCAAUGGACGAAAGUCUGACCGAGCAACGCCGCGUGAGUGAAGAAGGUUUUCGGAUCGUAAAACUCUGUUGUUAGAGAAGCGGUAUCUAACCAGAAAUCCACGGCUAACUACGUGCCAGCAGCCGCGGUAAUAC